AAUUGUGUAAUGUCAAUGCACUGGAAUUAAAAAUAAGCUUCCUAUGCGAAACGAGCACAAAAUAUACUUCAUAGUUGAUUUUUUUUCUCUCUGAUAUUUUGCAACAAGAGAGUAGCUAUGGUUCUUAGUAAAUCAGCCAAAAUCAUGCUGAGUUGGGUCGGUAUCAUGGUGGUAGGAGUUUCUUCAUUCGCCUACGCCAAGAUCAGUGUGGACAAGAAUCGGUAUGAGAUCUUGAAGAGCAAGAACAGAAUGAAGAAGUUAAAUGAAGAAAUUCCAGAUGGAGAGCAUGUGAGAUACGCAAACAUCAGAAAAUGAAGAGUUGCUCGCGUCUUUUGUCAGCAUCUACUUUAAGAGACAGCAUUAACUUGAUGAAUAGUGGAUGGUGGAUUAUAUAAGGCUGCAGUAUGAUAGAACUUCAAAGAUUUCGGAUAAUUUUUUUCCUUUUAACUCUCUGAGAUGCAACAUUGACUUUUGAUGUCUGUGACAUUUUUUUAUGGUAAUGUUUAGAGACAUAUACACAGGAGGAUGACGACUUCAACCAGUAUUCUAGGGAUGCUGGUUUUCUCUACCUGAUUGGGAUGGCAUGUAUAGUGAUUUUAAGUCAAUUAUAUAUUCUUCUUUUACAUUAGAUUUUUUCAUUUCUUGAUCUAUACACGGUGCAUUUGUUUUGUACGUAACCAUCCACUCAAAUCAAAGAGAAAUAUGUGAAUACAUCAUCUGUCAGAUGUGGCUAUCAGUUUGUUGUUACAAUCUACUACAAUAGGAAUGUUGUCGAGUAGGCAUCACAGAUUGAGAGGGAUAAUAAUAUGAUCGUCUAGCUCCAUAUAUUCAGAAAGCAUCAACCAUUUCAUGAGAUUUGGAAGGUAGGAGAUUGUUUAAAUCCAAUAGCACAGAUUGCAAGAGGGCAGUGAACAACCUGUAACAAUGAUAUGUAUUGAGAUUCAGAACUUUUAAAUGUUUUGAUAACAUUUUCAUGAAAAUGCAUUUGCUUGUUGCUCAUGAUUUGACUUCCAAACAGUUUUAAGGUUGUAAUUCACAUACUAGGUUUCCAAGAUGUACCUCACUCAUAGAGAGAAACGUGAGAGUGUAUGCCAACCUAAAAAGUCAUUCAGGAUCAGUCCACUGUUUGAGUGUCACAAAUAUGAUUGUAAGUGCUGCACUCUUAACUCCUUAGUUUUCUGCUUCCAAAGAUGCUGAUGAAGGUAGUAUAAGUUUUCCAUCUACAUGUACCGUCAUGUAAUGACCUUUUGUGAUGUGAUAACAUACAUGUUAUCCUACUUUGAGGCUGGCAUUGUCUCAAUUUAGCCUCGAACAUGGAAUUCCUUGAGUAGUUAUAAUUUCUGAAAGUUAUAUUGCAUACAUCUACAUGUAUCUCCAUAUAAUCCUCAAACUCCAUCCAUUUUCAUACUGUCACAUCAUUUUUUAGGGAUAAGAACUAUUUUGACCUGCAAAGUGUAAAGUGUAAACAAAAUGACAUCAUUGCUAAGUGUUAUGCUCUCAUCAACUCUCACAUUUUUGUGAAUACUUGUUAGGAUUUUAUAAAUUUUCAUAGUUUAUUAGAGUACUGUGUCCUCUAAAUCAUGCGCUCAUGUGAAGAACUACACUUUCCAACAUUUGCAUUUUAGAUAUUUGCUUUGAAUUUUUUCCAGAUUACAUGUAUGUAUGUGCAGUUUAUCAGUUUCAAAAUUUGUGUUGAUAAUGAUUUAGAAAAAUGGGAAUCUUGAUUUCAUGCAGUUGAAAUAUGUUAUCAUGCUUCUAUCCUACAAAUUAAUUUAUGCCAAUUGCAAUUCAAUUGUUAAUUACUUUUUAAGAAAAUGCAAAUGUUUUCUGAAUGUUUUCUAAACGAGUUUGUAGAAAUCGUUAUCAACAGUUUGUGAAUACAUAUAAUUCUUAUAUAAACUUCUAUUCUGAUUUCUAUA